rnacentral:lncRNA from 1 species
AGAGAGCUUUUGUAAGGGAGAGCUUCUUGUUGAGAGAGAGAGAUUGGUGCAUGAGGAUUGAGGGUGUAAUCUUCUCUUGUAAAUUUUUUCUUUUUCAUAGUGAAGCUUGCAUGCCCCAUAGAGGUGAGCUUUUUGGCUGAUCCACAUAUUUGAUUGUAUUCUUAUUUUAUUUCUUCUUUUUUCUAUUGCAAUAAGAGGUACC